UACGUAGGGUGCAAGCGUUGUCCGGAAUUAUUGGGCGUAAAGAGCUCGUAGGCGGUUUGUCGCGUCGAAUGUGAAAACCCGGGGCUCAACCCCGGGCCUGCAUUCGAUACGGGCAGACAAGAGUUCGGUAGGGGAGUCUGGAAUUCCUGGUGUAGCGGUGAAAUGCGCAGAUAUCAGGAGGAACACCGGUGGCGAAGGCGGGACUCUGGGCCUUACCUGACGCUGAGGAGCGAAAGCGUGGGUAGCGAACAGG
rnacentral:rRNA from 1 species